UACGUAGGGUGCGAGCGUUGUCCGGAAUUAUUGGGCGUAAAGGGCUCGUAGGCGGUCUGUCGCGUCGGGAGUGAAAACUCGGGGCUUAACUCCGAGCCUGCUUCUGAUACGGGCAGACUAGAGGCAUGCAGGGGAGAAUGGAAUUCCUGGUGUAGCGGUGAAAUGCGCAGAUAUCAGGAGGAACACCGGUGGCGAAGGCGGUUCUCUGGGCAUGACCUGACGCUGAGGAGCGAAAGUGUGGGGAGCGAACAGG
rnacentral:rRNA from 1 species